AAUUCUGCAUCUCUAUUGUUUUGCAAGUUGUGCGUUUUGCUUUUCUUCUUUCCAUUGUCGCAUUCGGUCGUCCCCUUUCAAAUCUCACUUUGUGUCUUUUUCAGCUCUUCGUUUAUUCACUCAACACCGAAUCAGUGUUUUGUUUGUAUAGAGGAGACGGCAACUUGGCUGGUGCACCGUCUGUUUUCAGUCGAGGAGAUUUAAUGGAAGACACAGAGAUAACUCCCAUCUCUGAGUUACGGCCGUAUAUAAAGGCUGAGAAAAUCAAAUCUCGCGUUUGUAGAAUAUGGAAAUCAACAAUUCCCGGAACUACUAAAAAAUGCACAUCUCUACACUGCAUUUUGCUUGAUGAGACGAAACAUGCCGGACAUUGACUACAAGACUAUAGCUUCAAAAAUUGAACCUGGGGGUUGCUAUGAAAUCACAAAUUUUCGGACCACUAGAAUGAAGAGCCAGUACAACGUAGUGCCGUAUGAGACUCAGCUUAUAUUCAGUGGUAAAACAAAUUUCAAAAAGCUCUCAAGUGUGUUUCCGCCUAUUCCUCAACACCGGUUUUUCCUACAGGAUUACAACACUCUUUAUCCCCGCUUGAACAAAGUUGACAUUCUUACAGAUGUCAUUGGUCAUCUCACUUCAAUACAACAUUUAGAGCCAAAACAGAUUAAUCAAAAGGUAGCAUACAAGUGGGAUAUACACAUUCAAAAUGUCAGCUUUUAAAAACUUUGUCCAUUUUGAUUAAAAUCAUGGUGCAGUAAGUGAUUGUAUCAUAUCAUUCUGAUACUUGGCAUGUGCCCGUAAAACCAUUUAUCAAUAUUUUCUUUCAACUUUCUUAUCAUUUUUUUCAAUGCACAGAUAAAAUUGUGAUGAACAGUACUGGUUGCUCACUUUUCUUUUUUGAUCCGGACAUCCCAGAAGUUAAUGCAUCCAAGUCGGUGUUUGCAAAUUGUAACGAGCCUGUGAAAAUAUUGGCCCCCUACUCCAGACAAGUAAAUGAGGCCGAAAUUUUACGCACAGCCAAGAUGUUCACAAUUGAUGAAGUGGCUUUUCUAGAUCCUGAUUUACACAAGGUAUAAAGUCAAUUUGGUUCUUGAGGAUCACACCAAUGAAAUCAAUGCUCUCAUAACUGGAAAAUCUGGUGAAAAGCUUUUUGGUGUGCCAUGUAAAGACUUAGUACUGAAUCAAAGAUUAGUUGAGCAACAACAGUUACCAAAUGAGUUUCUAAGGCUGAUCGGGCAAAAAAGAAAUUUUCAUCUGCGAGGAUACCUCCAUUGAGCCAAUCACUCCACGACCGUUGUCCAGAGAAAUUAGUCUCUUCAACCACCAUGUCAUCCUCUGCUUCAAUGCCUGAAACAAGUGGAUCAUCAUAUAAACGAAAGCGAGAAUCCAUCAGGAAAGCUCUUUUACCGCUGGUGAACACAGUGAACUAGAAGAAAUAUCAGAGGUUGAUCCAGAAGAAUUUGAUGAGGUUCCUAUCAAAUCAUUGGAAAAAAAAAAUCGUCUCCGACUGAUACAAAAACUGCCACCACCCGCCAAAAAAAUACUAGGUUGUUUUGACAGUGUAGAACCAAAACAUCAUCUGCUGCCCUCAAAAAUAUACAGCAUGGUUCAUCAGCAUAUGUAAAAAUCUAUUCCGGAUGUUUUAUGGCAUGUAAAUAACACUUUUUACUCAAGCUUAUCAAUAUUUUUGCAUGUUCAUACACCAGCACUUCUUAAUAUUUUGUACAUCAUUGCUGGUUCUGGUUAAAAACAACUACCAGUCUAUGCUAGAUGACUGUAAUAUUUUUGCAUGUAAUAUUUUUGUACAUCAUUGCUGGUUAAAAACAGCAUUUUGUAAUUUUUUGUAUCGAAGUGCUGGUUUCAGUAGAAUGAUAGCCAUAACUACUAAACUAUGAAAAAUGGAUGUAAUGGAGUUUUCCAUAUUUAACUGUA